GACGAACGCUGGCGGCGUGCCUAAUACAUGCAAGUAGAACGCUGAAGGAGGAGCUUGCUUCUCUGGAUGAGUUGCGAACGGGUGAGUAACGCGUAGGUAACCUGCCUGGUAGCGGGGGAUAACUAUUGGAAACGAUAGCUAAUACCGCAUAAUAGUAGAUGUCGCAUGACAUUUGCUUAAAAGGUGCAAUUGCAUCACUACCAGAUGGACCUGCGUUGUAUUAGCUAGUUGGUGAGGUAACGGCUCACCAAGGCAACGAUACAUAGCCGACCUGAGAGGGUGAUCGGCCACACUGGGACUGAGACACGGCCCAGACUCCUACGGGAGGCAGCAGUAGGGAAUCUUCGGCAAUGGACGGAAGUCUGACCGAGCAACGCCGCGUGAGUGAAGAAGGUUUUCGGAUCGUAAAGCUCUGUUGUAAGGGAAGAACGAGUGUGAGAGUGGAAAGUUCACACUGUGACGGUAUCUUACCAGAAAGGGACGGCUAACUACGUG
rnacentral:rRNA from 1 species